CUAAGCGUCGAUAAGGACGAGGGGAGCAGCGGCCCGAGCCUGGGCCCGGACAGGGAGGCCACCCCACCCUCCUCGCCGCUGCAGAGGCCGGAGGUGGCCAGAGAGGUCUAUCUACUGGCGUCGUCGCUGUCGGGCCGCCGGAGGUGAAACAGGCGGAGUUGCCAAGAAAUAGGAACAAAACAGCGACGGCUGGACACGGCCAACCGGCCCGGGGGAAGCGACGCACGUGUCUUUUGUCUCGCAGUGACGAACUGGCGCGGCGGCAGCGUGGUGGCGUUGAGGCGGCGACGGCGUACCCAGUGCCCUGCCAUGGAUCCAGUCGCUGGCACGGCAGAGCAUCGGGGCCCGUUGGAAGUGCACGCCCUCGCGCCCGGCAAGAUCAUCCUCGCGGGUGAGCACGCCGUCGCCGCUGCCAUCGAUCUCUACACCAACUCCUCCCUCCUCCUCCUCUGCCCCGCAGCCCAGCGCGGUGGCGCUGGACCUCAGGGACUCGGGCCUCACCUUCUCGUGGCUGUGCUCGCGCCUCCGCGGGGCGCUGGGGGAGGAGACAAGCGUCGUACUGCCUGCACGGGCAAGCACCCACGCACGGACCCCAUCCCACUCUCCCGAUUCAACAACAACCAGCUCAUCUUAGGACUAGAGGAGGACGAGGAGAUGAUUUGGUGCUACGAGGGUCAGGCCCCAUCUCCAAGAAAUGGACCACGCUUGGCUAUUGCCACCACCUGCACGCCCCGCUUGUGACGCAAGGUGGAUCACCUAUUCAGGCCGAGAGCCAUCCUCGCCCCAAAAUCCUCACUGCAGUCGACGACCACCUCCCAUCUACACCAGGACCAAGAGGCUCAUGCUGCAGAGAUGGAGCGUACCUUCAUCGCCAUGAAUACACAGUUUAUUUUUGAAGCACACAAGCAGCUCCUUCCUAAGCUCCAUAGACAGAUCAUGUAAGAAAUAAAUAUUCUACAUGAAUACACUGUAGGGGAAACAAUCAUGAAAAUCAACUAGAGUUGGUCUAUUCAUCAGGAUAUUUAUGUGAUUUGUGAGCUUCAAUGUAUUCAUCUACCGAGAUAGGAAACAACCAAAGUAUAACACAGUAUAGCCGUAUAGUGAACAUGUAGACUGAAUGUGAUAUUCCUUGUACUUCAUGUUCCUUUUUAAGUUUGAUGAAGGAAGUUUGUAAGUUAUGA